rnacentral:rRNA from 1 species
AGCAGCCGCGGUAAUUCCAGCUCCAAUAGCGUAUAUUAAAGUUGCUGCAGUUAAAAAGCUCGUAGUUGAAUUUCGGGACUAAUAUGUCGGUCGUGCCUCGGUACGUACUGGUUUAUUGGUUUCUCCUUUCUGAAGAACCAUGAUGUCAUUUAUUUGGUGUCGUGGGGAAUCAGGACUGUUACUUUGAAAAAUUAGAGUGUUUAAAGCAGGCUCACGCUUGAAUACAUUAGCAUGGAAUAAUGAAAUAGGACGUUUGAUUCUAUUUUGUUGGUUUCUAGGAUCGACGUAAUGAUUAAUAGGGAUAGUUGGGGGCAUUAGUAUUCAAUUGUCAGAGGUGAAAUUCUUGGAUUUAUUGAAGACUAACUACUGCGAAAGCAUUUGCCAAGGAUGUUUUCAUUAAUCAAGAACGAAAGUUAGGGGAUCGAAGACGAUCAGAUACCGUCGUAGUCUUAACCAUAAACUAUGCCGACUAGGGAUCG